AUAAAAUAAUAAAAGAAUGAAAUAAAAAGAAACAAAGAAAAGAAAGAACAGAGACAUUCGAAACAGAGCAGGAAGAAAUGGGGAAAGAAAAGAAAAAGGAAAAACUAAGAGUUUAAGGUUUAAAGCUUUAAUUGCUAACAAGAAAAACGAGACAUCGGCAUCCAAAGGAAAAGAAAAGAUCGUUGAGGAGUAAACUCGUAUUCCGGGUCAUUAGAGUUUCGGAUCCGGUCUAGCAUCCAAAACAAGCCUGACUCCAACAAAAAGAUUUUGGUGAUAUAUUUCUUCCUUUUGUUAAGUGGCAUGUACUAGGUAGUUGCAUAUAAAUUAUGUGUAUACAUUAAGUUAAAUGAUUUUUGUUGUAUAUAAAUGAUUAUAAUGUUUUGGAUUAUGAAUAUGAUAUAAAGUUGUGAAA